rnacentral:rRNA from 1 species
AUAGAACGCUGGCGGCAUGCCUUACACAUGCAAGUCGAACGGUAACAGGUCUUCGGAUGCUGACAAGUGGCGAACGGGUGAGUAAUACAUCGGAACGUGCCUAGUAGUGGGGGAUAACUACUCGAAAGAGUGGCUAAUACCACAUGAGAUCUACGGAUGAAAGCAGGGGAUCGCAAGACCUUGUGCUACUAGAGCGGCCGAUGGCAGAUUAGGUAGUUGGUGGGAUAAAAGAUUACCAAGCCGACGAUCUGUAGCUGGUCUGAGAGGACGAUCAUCCACACUGGGACUGUGACACGGCCCAGACUACUACGGGAGGCAGCAGUGGGGAAUUUUGGACAAUUGGCGCAAGCCUGAUCCAGCAAUGCCGCGUUCAGGAUGAAGGCCUUCGGGUUGUAAACUGCUUUUGUACGGAACGAAAAGCCCUGGGUUAAUACCCUGGGGUCAUGACGGUACCGUAAGAAUAAGCACCGGCUAACUACGUGCCAGCCGCCGCAGUAAGAC